rnacentral:rRNA from 1 species
CCUACGGGGUGCAGCAGUGGGGGAUAUUGCACAAUGGGGGAAACCCUGAUGCAGCGACGCCGCGUGGGCGAAGAAGUAUUUCGGUAUGUAAAGCCCUAUCAGCAGGGAAGAAGAAAUGACGGUACCUGAGUAAGAAGCACCGGCUAAAUACGUGCCAGCAGCCGCGGUAAUACGUAGGGUGCAAGCGUUAUCCGGAUUUACUGGGGGUAAAGGGAGCGCCGGCGGCACGGCAAGCCUGAUGUGAAAUCCCGCGGCCGAACCGCGGGACUGCAUUGGAAACUACCGGGCUGGAGUGCCGGAGAGGUAGGCGGAAUUCCUAGUGUAGCGGUGAAAGGCGUAGAUAUUAGGAGGAACACCAGUGGCGAAGGCGGCCUACUGGACGGUGACUGACGCUGAGGCUCGAAAGCGUGGGGAGCAAACAGGAUUAGAUACCCGAGUAGUC